AUCUACUGAGCUCCUGACAGCAGAGUUGGAGCUGAUGGUUAAAAGAGGAUGACUAUGGCAGUUUUUCCUGGUGUUGCUGCUCUGCUCUCUGUCUGGGCCACAUGGCCAUGAUGACAGAGUGAAAGACAUCACUACUCAGGUUCCCUAUGUAGACAGACAGAGUAGCAUGGAUGAAGAUCAGAUUGACAGGUUGGAUGAAGCUGAAGGUGACCCUGGUUCUAAGCUGACGGGACCACAAUCUGGACUGAGCUGAGGGCUCUGAGAGACAUGGUGGUAGAGCAGAGAGUUGAUCUGAGGUUCAUGGAGGCCAGAGUAACAGCUGCUGAGUGCCAUGUGGACCAACAGCAGACAGAGAAUGAAGGUGAGCGAGCUGAGAGACAUGUUUAUGUAUAUGUUUAUGUAUAUGUAGAAAACAUUCCCUACUAGCCCGGCUGGCCAGUGCCCAAAAUGCUUAAGUAUCAGCCCUGAGUGCUACAGUAGCAUACCUUUUUUGUAUGGAUUAAUUUAAAUGAAUUGAUAUAUUUCCAUAGAAUAACAAAAUCUCUGAAGAAGGCCAUGAGACCGAUACCUAAAGCUUAUUAAAGAUCAGUGAUCCUACCAAGAGCAGUGUGUGGUUUCCUUUUUCCGUCAUCUUGUUCAACUGUUACCAUGCACCUGCAAAAAAAGAUUGCUCAGAUGUGCGAGUGCCUGUUGAACAUAGAAUAACAGUAACAACAAUAUAUUGUUCUUGUUAUUUCAGCUCAGCAGACAAGCUGAUGGACAUGGAGGCCAAGAUGGCAGAUGCUGAGACCCACGUGGAAGAACUGCAGACAGAGAAUGAAGCACAAGAGGGUUUGCUGACAGGCAGGGGAGCCAGGAUGACAGCUGCCGAAAGUCGUAUGGAGGAACUGCAGACAGAGAAUGAAGGUAAACAAUGACAACAGAUACAACAGAUCACAAGCAACGUGAACAUUUGUAAUGAGAUUUUCUGCAAAGCACAAGUGAUACAUUAAGAGGACCACAAUGAAAAUAAUCCUUCAGGCUUUACUGUGUUUUAUCCUCAAU
rnacentral:lncRNA from 13 species